rnacentral:rRNA from 1 species
AUUGAACGCUGGCGGCAUGCCUUACACAUGCAAGUCGAACGGCAGCACGGGAGCAAUCCUGGUGGCGAGUGGCGAACGGGUGAGUAAUAUAUCGGAACGUGCCCGGUCGUGGGGAUAACGUAGCGAAAGCUACGCUAAUACCGCAUACGAUCUACGGAUGAAAGCGGGGGGAUCGCAAGACCUCGCGCGAUUGGAGCGGCCGAUAUCAGAUUAGGUAGUUGGUGAGGUAAAGGCUCACCAAGCCGACGAUCUGUAGCUGGUCUGAGAGGACGACCAGCCACACUGGGACUGAGACACGGCCCAGACUCCUACGGGAGGCAGCAGUGGGAAUUUGGACAAUGGGCGCAAGCCUGAUCCAGCAAUGCCGCGUGCAGGAUGAAGGCCUUCGGUU